CCCGCUGCCGUUGCCUGCCCCGCAUGGGAUGCCGGCUCCUCAGUCCCGGUUCCGGCCGUCCCAUCCCCUCCCGGACUACCGGGCCCGAAGGAAGGAGCGUAUAUCCAGCAAGAGUCACUGAUUGCAGCUGGAGACCUGAAUCAAAUCAACCUUACAAGCAACAGAACCUGUGGUCAAUCCUGCUUACAUGUGCCAGGGCACAGACAGCAUUACAGAUGCAAGACCCUUCACCAUUGCUGUUAAAGAUCAAUAUAUACUACUCCUUUGUAAAAAAGA